GGUUCCGUGGUCCAGUGGUCAAGACUCAUCGUUGUGGAAAUACGAGACAUCCCCUCUCUCGGGAACACACUCGUACUCGCUACAUCCGAUGCAACCCGUGUUCGAUUCACGGCGGAGCCA